CUCCCUGUGGUUCAGGUGGUAGAGCAUGGUGCUUGCAACACCAAGGUUGUGGGUUUGAUUCCCCAUGGGGAAA
rnacentral:tRNA from 1 species